AUUGAACGCUGGCGGCAGGCCUAACACAUGCAAGUCGAGCGAGCGGCGGACGGGUGAGUAAUGUCUGGGAAACUGCCUGAUGGAGGGGGAUAACUACUGGAAAAGGUAGCUAAUACCGCAUACCAUCAGAUGUGCCCAGAUGGGAUUAGCUAGUAGGUGGGGUAACGGCUAACCUAGGCGACGAUCCCUGGCUGGUCUGAGAGGAUGACCAGCCACGCUGGAAUUGAGACACGGUCCAGACUCCUACGGGAGGCAGCAGUGGGAAUUAUGGCACAAUGGGCACAAGCCUGAUGCAGCGAUGCCGCGUGUGUGAAGAAGGCCUGCUGGUUGUAAAGCACUUUCAGCGGGGAGGCGUUACCCGCAGAAGAAGCACCGGCUAACUCCGUGCCAGCAGCCGCGGUAAUUC
rnacentral:rRNA from 1 species